GGAGGAAAAAAAAGAAUUCUAAUAUACUUUAUUCUUUAUGAAAGCUCUAAGAGAUCUAAUUAUUUGUUUUAAUGAGAAGAUUGAAGGAAGCUGCACUCUUAUUUGGAAGUACAAAGACUAUUUCACUUGACUGUACUGAGUUUUCAUGAGUUUGUACAGCAUCAGCUGAAAUGGAGCCCUUGGAACAGGGCUAAACAAUACAGUUGCGCUAAUAAUGAAGAAUCUGUGAUCAGCCAUUGACAUUGUUGAAUGGGAGGUUGUUAUGCACUUCAUGCCCAUUAAGAAGACAGUAAACUGUUGAUUAUGAGCAUUCUGUAGUACACAUUUUUCUUACUAUACAGUGUCAAAGGCCAUAUGCGUGGUUUUUCUGCCCAAUCUGCGAAGGCAUUCACAAUUGUUUCACUCAGAUGUAAGGACCCAUCUCAGUUCUGCCUCUGUGCCAGCCUGUAAAACAUGGAUCAGUGCUAAGUAUUCUGUGCUGUCUUGUGCACAAAAUAUUGCUCAAGUGCAUGUUCUUUAAUAGUUGCAUCACCUUCAUUGCUGGUGUUACUGAGAGGUGUAGGAUACACAAGGCUUCCGUCAGUGCAGGCGGUUUGCCAUCAUUUUCUGAAGUUGGCUGUGCUGUCCUUCAGUGUUCUGAUGGACAUAUCUCUUACGUCAGUCACAGAUUUCUCUGCAUUCAAUGAUCGUGUCUCGAGUAGAACAAAUCUGUAAUAGGGUAAUGUUAAGUUUGGGGGAUACUUCUCGUCCUCGAUGCAAAACAUCUUGGUACAAAAAUUGGUUGAGUGGCCAUACGUUAGAAAGAUCUAUACAGUCUGGAAUAGAGAAUGUUUCUGGGCUUUGAAUGGAAAAUUGUUUAUUUAGAGGGGAAAAUAAGUACUCCAUCCUAUAAUCUGCAUCCUAAAAAUGCAGGAAUCAAAAUACUGCAUCCUAAAAUGUAGGAAACUUCAACACAAAUUUCACUCUUAGUUUUAAAGAAGGAUCAAGUCUGUAUGGAAAAAGCUUGCUUCAAAAAGCAAAUUACUAAGAUGUGACAUGGGGGGGAAAAAAAAAGCAUUUAGGGGCUUUUGAAUUAGUAUUUCCAGUGCUGUAAUGUCACUUAGUGACUUGGAAUGGUGUGGUAUUUGUAGUUAACUUCCUUAGCCUCAGUGAGAGUGAAAUACUUGGAAAGAAGGAUGGAUUUGUGGUUUAAAUGUGAAAUUGGAAAACAGGAGAUUUAUUUCUGGUUAGAUGACAGAUAAUUUGAUUUGGGGGAAAUAUCACUUUCUGUUCCUUAAUGUCUGUUUAUGAAAACUGGAGAUUCACAAAGAAUAUUGCUUGAUUCAUCUGAAUAGAGGAUUUUAUUAAUAAUUGUAAUGUAUUUUAAGACCCAGAAUAGGAAAGUAAUAUUAAAACAAGUUAACUAAUGACAAUAAAAGUUACUUGGGAGUAGAUUGGCCUAAGGCAGCAUCUGUUACUAUUGUGAUUGUUUAAUUUACAGCUACCUGUAACAAAUAAAGGUAAAAUUUGACACUUAUUCUGUGAGAGUUGUGAUACUUACUGUAUUCCGG
ensembl:lncRNA